rnacentral:rRNA from 1 species
AGCAGCCGCGGUAAUUCCAGCUCCAAUAGCGUAUAUUAAAGUUGUUGCAGUUAAAAAGCUCGUAGUUGAAUUUCGGGAUCAAUACGUCGGUCGUGCCUUCGGUACGUACUGGUGUUAUUGAUCCCUCCCUUCUGAUGAAUCAUGAUGUCAUUAAUUUGGUGUCGUGGGGAGUCAGGACUGUUACUUUGAAAAAAUUAGAGUGUUUAAAGCAGGCUCACGCUUGAAUACAUUAGCAUGGAAUAAUGAAAUAGGACGUUCGAUCCUAUUUUGUUGGUUUCUAGGAUCAACGUAAUGAUUAAUAGGGAUAGUUGGGGGCAUUAGUAUUCAAUUGUCAGAGGUGAAAUUCUUGGAUUUAUUGAAGACUAACUACUGCGAAAGCAUUUGCCAAGGAUGUUUUCAUUAAUCAAGAACGAAAGUUAGGGGAUCGAAGACGAUCAGAUACCGUCGUAG